UGCCAUGUUGCCCCGUCUGAUCUAGAACUCGUGAGCUCAAGCCAUUUGCCCUCUUUGGCCUCCCAAAGUGCUGGGAUUAUACGCACGAGCCACCGUGCCCGGCUGACUCCUUUUUCUGAAACUCUUGAAAACUUCUUGUCUCUACACCUGCUCAAAUUCAAAAUCUACUCCCAAACCCCAAGACUGCAAAGAAACAACAGUCAAAUCUCAGCCAUCCCCAGCCACAAGCCCAAGGCUGAUGGACAGACCCCCACCUAGACCCAAACUGCGUCUCUGUCCUGGGGGGACAGACCCGGCCUGGACCCCUCUGUGCUGAGCCCCUCUGGUCCUGGGCACCUCAGCAGUCCCACCAACCUCUCACCACACCAUCUCUGUCGCCACUCGGGUGCUGCAGAGUCUGCAAUGGUGGUUGAUUGACAGCUCCCCCUCUCCUCCAUGGUACAGCCCCCACCAGCAAUGCAGCUGUUCCU
rnacentral:lncRNA from 10 species